CCUACGGGUGGCAGCAGUGAGGGAUAUUGGUCAAUGGGCGUAAGCCUGAACCAGCCAAGUCGCGUGAGGGAUGAAGGUUCUAUGGAUCGUAAACCUCUUUUAUAAGGGAAUAAAGUGUGGGACGUGUCCUAUUUUGUAUGUACCUUAUGAAUAAGGAUCGGCUAACUCCGUGCCAGCAGCCGCGGUAAUACGGCGGGUCCGAGCGUUAUCCGGAUUUAUUGGGGUUAAAGGGUGCGUAGGCGGCCUUUUAAGUCAGCGGUGAAAGUCUGUGGCUCAACCAUAGCAUUGCCGUUGAAACUGGGGGGCUUGAGUAUGUUUGAGGCAGGCGGAAUGCGUGGUGUAGCGGUGAAAUGCUUAGAUAUAAGGAAGAACCCCGAUUGCGAAGGCAGCCUGCCAAGCCAUGACUGACGCUGAUGCACGAAAGCGUGGGGAUCAAACAGGAUUAGAUACCCGAGUAGUC
rnacentral:rRNA from 1 species